rnacentral:rRNA from 1 species
UUGCCUCAGUUCGGAUUGUUCUCUGCAACUCGGGAACAUGAAGUAGAAAUCGCUAGUAAUCGCGGAUCAGCAUGCCGCGGUGAAUAUGUACCCGGGCCCUGUACACACCGCCCGUCACACCCUGGGAAUUGGUUUCGCCCGAAGCAUCGGACCAAUGAUCACCCAUGACUUCUGUGUACCACUAGUGCCACAAAGGCCUUUGGUGGUCUUAUUGGCGCAUACCACGGUGGGGUCUUCGACUGGGGUGAAGUCGUAACAAGGUAGCCGUAGGGGAACCUGUGGCUGGAUUGAAUCCUUC